UGGGGAAUAUUGCACAAUGGGCGCAAGCCUGAUGCAGCCAUGCCGCGUGUAUGAAGAAGGCCUUCGGGUUGUAAAGUACUUUCAGUCGGGAGGAAGGUGGUAAGGUUAAUAACCUUAUCAAUUGACGUUACCGACAGAAGAAGCACCGGCUAACUCCGUGCCAGCAGCCGCGGUAAUACGGAGGGUGCAAGCGUUAAUCGGAAUUACUGGGCGUAAAGCGCACGCAGGCGGUUGAUUGAGUCAGAUGUGAAAUCCCCGGGCUUAACCCGGGAAUUGCAUCUGAUACUGGUCAGCUAGAGUCUUGUAGAGGGGGGUAGAAUUCCAUGUGUAGCGGUGAAAUGCGUAGAGAUGUGGAGGAAUACCGGUGGCGAAGGCGGCCCCCUGGACAAAGACUGACGCUCAGGUGCGAAAGCGUGGGGAGCAAACGGG
rnacentral:rRNA from 1 species